rnacentral:rRNA from 2 species
GGGCAUGCGGGUGCUAUAAUGCAGUCGAGCGAAUGAUGAGGAGCUUGCUCCUCUGAUUUAGCGGCGGACGGGUGAGUAACACGUGGGUAAUCUGCCUGUAAGACGGGGAUAACUCCGGGAAACCGGGGCUAAUACCGGAUAAUAAGAGAAGAAGCAUUUCUUCUUUUUGAAAGUCGGUUUCGGCUGACACUUACAGAUGAGCCCGCGGCGCAUUAGCUAGUUGGUGAGGUAACGGCUCACCAAGGCGACGAUGCGUAGCCGACCUGAGAGGGUGAUCGGCCACACUGGGACUGAGACACGGCCCAGACUCCUACGGGAGGCAGCAGUAGGGAAUCUUCGGCAAUGGGCGAAAGCCUGACCGAGCAACGCCGCGUGAGCGAUGAAGGCCUUCGGGUCGUAAAGCUCUGUUGUUAGAGAAGAACAAGUACGAGAGUAACUGCUCGUACCUUGACGGUACCUAACCAGAAAGCCACGGCUAACUACGUGCCAGCAGCCGCGGUAAUACGUAGGUGGCAAGCGUUAUCCGGAAUUAUUGGGCGUAAAGCGCGCGCAGGCGGUCUCUUAAGUCUGAUGUGAAAGCCCACGGCUCAACCGUGGAGGGUCAUUGGAAACUGGGAGACUUGAGUGCAGGAGAGAAAAGUGGAAUUCCACGUGUAGCGGUGAAAUGCGUAGAGAUGUGGAGGAACACCAGUGGCGAAGGCGGCUUUUUGGCCUGUAACUGACGCUGAGGCGCGAAAGCGUGGGGAGCAAACAGGAUUAGAUACCCUGGUAGUCCACGCCGUAAAACGAUGAGUGCUAGGUGUUGGGGGGUUCCACCCUCAGUGCUGAAGUUAACACAUUAAGCACUCCGCCUGGGGAGUACGACCGCAAGGUUGAAAACUCAAAGGAAUUGACGGGGGCCCGCACAAGCAGUGGAGCAUGUGGUUUAAUUUCGAAGCAACGCGAAGAACCUUACCAGGUCUUGACAUCCUUUGACCACUCUAGAGAAUAGAGCUUUUCCCCCUUCGGGGGAACAAAGUGACAGGUGGUGCAUUGGUUGGUCGUCAGCUUCGGCGUCGGGAAGAAUGUUUGGGUUAAGUC